AUGGACGCCAUACUGGAGCUCAGAGCUGGACUGAAUGUUUCUCAGGGCUUGGUGUGUUUUGCUGAGUUCAGGAUUGUCUGUGUGAUGAUCUUCACCUGGGUCUCAUUAGCUCGGUCCGCUGUGCUGUUCUGGGUUUUGAGGCACCUGGAGCUGCUGAAACAAAGAGGCUUUCCAGGGGGUGAGGUUGUACUGUGUGAACAGUGUGGUGUUUUGGAGCAGGAGGUUUUUGUACAGCCGCUGAAUGAGUUUGUAUCACUGUGGUACACUUUUGGUGGAGGAACCAAACUGGCUGUUGGACGUGACACGGCACCCACCCUCACAGUGCUGCCCCCGUCCAGCGUGGAGCAGGAUCAGGAGAAGGCCACUCUGGUCUGUGUGGGCAGCGGGGGCUUCCCCUCAGACUGGAAGUUGAGCUGGAAGGUGGGCAGUGACUCAUUGGAGUCGGGGGUCAGUCACAGCCCUGCGCUUCUGCAGAAGAACGACGGCCUCUACAGCUGGAGCAGCACCCUGACCCUCAGCCAGCAGCAGUGGCUGAAGAACACAGUGACCUGUGAGGCCACCAAGGACUCCCAGCCUACUGUCCGCAAGACAGUGAGCGCAGACCAAUGCUCUGACCUGUGACCUCACAAAUGCACUGCCGAAGUUUGUUAGUCGAAGCACAUUUUCUUUUGCUUAAAUGUCUGUAUUUUAGAAGACAUAAUAAAAGCCUUUUAGUGCUGAAAUGUCUUUGAAUGCCUUUGACUCAAUCAAUAAAACAUCUGUCUCAUUUUCAUUGUA